AACGAACGCUGGCGGCGUGCUUAACACAUGCAAGUCGAACGAGAAAGUUUCCUUCGGGAAACGAGUAGAGUGGCGCACGGGUGAGUAACGCGUAGGUAAUCUACCCUUAUAACUGGGAUAACAUUGGGAAACUGGUGCUAAUACCGGAUACACUUUUUUACCGCGGGGUAAAAGAGGAAAGGUGGCCUCUUCAUGAAAGCUACCGUAUAGGGAUGAGCCUGCGUACCAUUAGCUAGUAGGCGGGGUAACGGCCCACCUAGGCUACGAUGGUUAGCGGGUCUGAGAGGAUGAUCCGCCACACUGGAACUGGAACACGGACCAGACUCCUACGGGAGGCAGCAGUGAGGAAUAUUGCGCAAUGGGCGAAAGCCUGACGCAGCCACGCCGCGUGAAGGAUGACACCCCUCUGGGGCGUAAACUUCUUUUAUGUGAGAAGAAGGUCUUGGUCUCCAAGGCUUGACGGUAUCACAUGAAUAAGCACCGGCUAACUCCGUG
rnacentral:rRNA from 1 species